UCGGGAAUAUUGCGCAAUGGAGGAAACUCUGACGCAGUGACGCCGCGUGCAGGAAGAAGGUUUUCGGAUUGUAAACUGCUUUAGACAGGGAAGAAAGAAAUGACGGUACCUGUAGAAUAAGCCUCCGGCUAACUACGUGCCAGCA
rnacentral:rRNA from 1 species